GGGCCAGUGGCACAAUGGAUAAAAAACUGAAAAUGCUCAGAUCUCCUGUCUGACUAUUAAUCAGAAGAUUCUAGGUUCGACUCCUGGCUGGCUCG